GAAAGAUGAAAAGGGAAGUCUUCAGGUAUCGUGGAGGUGGCUGCCGCAGGAAGUACCUACUGCCCCCAGGCUGAGGAAACAACAGGAAGAAGUUGCAUUAUUAAAGCUUAGAAAUUGAGAGAACAGGCCCCAUGGAACUGAAACUUGGGCCUCUGAAGAAUGGAUGCUACUUGCUGGUGUUGGCGUCUCUGAGCUCAGAGGAGUGUGGGACUCAGACUCGGAGAAGUCCUGUGCCAGCCGAUGUCUUGGAGGCUGACCCAACAAAGCAGGUUCUAAAUGUCCGGAAAACUGCAAACUGGAUUCAGCUACUGCUCUGGGAAGCAACUGUCACUGCUGGAAUGAAGAAGCGUUGCUGGGAUGACAGUCCCACGACCAGGAGGCAGAGAGGAAGAAGCAAGUCUCUUCCUCUUUCGGCCUCACAGCCCCCCUCUGCCUUGCAGCUACGUUGGCACAAACUAGCAUGAGGCCCACUGGCAGAGCAGAGCUGCAGUCUGCAGGAACCCAGUUGCAGGCUAGAGAAGGGUGGGGUUCAAACUGAAAGACAGUUACUUCAUAACUGGCCCAGGAGAUAGGAUAUGGACAUAAGAAGACAUCACUCUAGGAUUCAGCAUGCAUCAACAACGAAUUGAUACUUGGCGGAAAUUCCAUCAGUAGCCAAGAUUUGUUCUGCUGUUUCAUUCCACUUAGAUCAGUGAUCCUAACAGCCACUGGCACCUGCCAUCAGGACAAGCAGAAGCGACCGGAGGAGAGGAGGGUCAGGUCAUCGGAAGUCUCUCAAGACCCUAAGAACAGCUGGGCAGGAUCACAAUCCCCCCUCACUGUCUGCCCGCCCCUCCAGUGCCUCAGACUGUCCCCCAGCACUCUUCUGACCUGGCCAGAUUUAAUUCUUAAGUUGACAUUGCCAUUGCCAGCAUGGAACGUUCUAUCCAGUUAAACCCACAGCAGUUCACGGAAAAGUUGUGGACAAACAAGGCUGAAUGAAGACAUUUCUUCCUGGCAGGUUUUCUUGAGCCUGUUGCCCGAAUUCAUGUCCACCUUUCCUGAAUAGGUAGGGUUGUGGGCUAAUGUGGGAUCAGGGACACAGUGAGCUUACCCAAUAAGAGAAUCAUUCUAGCUGCCCAAAGAUGUUUGAAUGUGAACAUUGUAACAAAUGUGGGCCUUAAUCCAGUCUGUAAGGCAAGAGGAUAAAAUUUUAAGCUAAAAUUAAUGUUUUAAUUCUCUUUUGGGAAACCUGUUAUACGUAAGUCCAGCAUGAAUAAGAUAAAAGAGAGAAAAGGAACUAUUCAGAGUUAAAUAUAAGACAAGAUGACAAUUGAGAAAAAUAAAACCUAUUUUUCACGCAUCCUCUGGUACUCUUUCCUUCCCAUUAGCAUUUUCAGUGCUGUGACUCCACAAAGACAAAUGUAUGGGUAGCUAACACAUUAUUUGGUGGUGGUGGGAGUACUGGGGUAGGGGGCAGGGGGAGUAAGAGCUAAAGUUUUCUCCUGAUUAUAAAAGUAAUAAGAUCUUGCUGUCGUAAUCUAGAAAGUACCAAAAAUGUAACAGGAGGAGAAAAAUAAACUGUCCCUAAUGUUAUCAUUCUGGUAUUUCUCCUUCUAGAUCAUACUGAAUGUACCAUUUUACAUAGCCUUUUUUUCUACACAAAGUAUUUAAAAUGUCUUAUUUGAAAGCUGAUAUUUAAAUCUAUUGUGUGCAUGCCUCAUGUUUUUCUUCUUUGUUCUCAUUGUCAUCCUUCCUUUUUAAAAAUAUUUUAAAACUGUUAUAAAGAACUCUGAAAUGAA